GCUACUCGCGGCUUACCUCUACGAAAUUGCUCAGUUGAAGUGAAGCAGCCCCGUUACAUGCCCUUUCAGCUGCAACUGUUUCAGGAAGUAGACUCGACGAGAACACCACACCUAUUCACACAACUGAAGUUGUUUCCUUCACUGGUGUAGUCUGUAGUAUUAGUACUUCAGGCCAGUUGAGGAAUUGACAUUCUUAGUGUCAAAAUAUUGUUGUGAUUCACAAAAAUAUGCACGCGGAUAUUUUUUAAUGUACUUUACGCAAGCCUGGCAUUUUAAAAUUUUUGGCACCUUUAAAUUAUUUCAAAUGAACUCGCACAUUUUUACCCAUGACAAUUCGAUUUAUAUGUACUGAUUGAAAUAAAUAUUUUUAUGCACAGUU
rnacentral:lncRNA from 1 species